GACGAACGCUGGCGGCGUGCCUAAUACAUGCAAGUCGAGCGGACUGACUGGGAGCUUGCUCUUGUUCGGUCAGCGGCGGACGGGUGAGUAACACGUGGGCAACCUGCCCGCAAGACCGGGAUAACUCCGGGAAACCGGAGCUAAUACCGGAUAACACCGAACACCGCAUGGUCUUUGGGUGAAAGGCGGCGCAAGCCGGCGGUUGCGGAUGGGCGCGCGGCGCCGUAGCUUGUAGGUGUGGUAGCGGCUUACCAGGGCGACGAUGCGCAGCCGGCCUGGGAGGGUGACACGCCACAGUGGGACAGGGGAAGGGCCAAGAGGGCUACGUGCGGCAUGGGUGGGAGCUAGUGCGCGCUAGGCGGCGGGCGGGAACAAGGACGUCGGGUGGGGGAGGACUGCUUUGGGGGUGGAAGGCGCGCCGGUCUGAGACGGCGGGGGAGUGACGGUACCGGGUAAGGAAGCCCCGGCUAACUACGUG
rnacentral:rRNA from 1 species